GAUGAACGCUGGCGGCGUGCCUAAUACAUGCAAGUCGAGCGAACAGACGAGGAGCUUGCUCCUCUGACGUUAGCGGCGGACGGGUGAGUAACACGUGGAUAACCUACCUAUAAGACUGGGAUAACUUCGGGACACCGGAGCUAAUACCGGAUAAUAUAUUGAACCGCAUGGUUCAAUAGUGAAAGACGGUUUUGCUGUCACUUAUAGAUGGAUCCGCGCCGCAUUAGCUAGUUGGUAAGGUAACGGCUUACCAAGGCAACGAUGCGUAACCGACCUGAGAGGGUGAUCGGCCACACUGGAACGGAGACACGGUCCAGACGCCUAAGGGAGGCAGCAGUAGCGAAUCUGCCGCAAUGGGCGAAAGCCUGACGGAGCAACGCCGCGUGAGUGAUGAAGGUCUUCGGAUCGUAAAACUCUGUUAUUAGGGAAGAACAAAUGUGUAAGUAACUAUGCACGUCUUGACGGUACCUAAUCAGAAAGCCACGGCUAACUACGUG
rnacentral:rRNA from 1 species